AAUCGUCCACCCUUUGGAUGAAAAGCAAAUGAUUUAUCCGGAUUUUGUUCAUCCGAAACUAAAUCACUAGUAUCAACAUCCGGUGUAAGUUUUGCUUGUAUUUUGGAGAAACUCGAUUGAUUAACAAACUUGGUUUACCACUACAUCGUCGCUUAUUAUUAUUUGUUGCUGCUUGGGACAAUAAAGUUAAGUCAGCAAUCGUCUACCAGACUGCAAGAUUCAUCUCUUCCAAAGGAUGUCGUACCUUUCCAGAUACACUGUGUUUUGUGUGGAUAAGAAAUGCAGAGUGGUACCACCAAUCACCUAAGCCACCAUUCCCCUAACAGACAAUAGGCUCAUGGGGACAGUUCCUGCAAUUUACAGAAAAGCUCUCAAUUGUAGCCCUACGAACAUCAGAUACUGCCGAUGGUGAAGCUUGGGUGCACCGGGCCGGUUUUCCAGCCGUGUGGAAUCAACAUCUCCAGCUGAACUGGGGCCGGAAAUUAUAUAAGACUCCUUAGCAGCAUGAGUGCCAGCCAGUCAUUGCUUUUCUUUGCAUUGCUGAGGAGGACAGUCCUGCCAACAUAACAGUUUGUUCAAUAACAGGAGACAAACAGAAACACAGAGGUGCUAUACAUUCUGAUGGAAAAACAAAAGCAUCUCCCAUCAUUUUGGUGUGGCUCAGAUCAAGAGGAGAAUUUUAAGAAAGGUGAUGGUUGGGCACACACAAGAAGACAUAGAUCACAGUUGUCUAGCCAUAUGAGUAGAUAGGAGUGUCACACUCUGCCAAACUUACUUCAUCAGACGAGCAGAAAGCUUCUCAAGAUCCCGCACUGCACACUAAGACAUAGUCUUUGACUACAACAAGGUGAUGAAAGUACAGAGAGGUCCAAUUGAAAUCAAUUCUGUGCUGCGUCAUUUCUUCAUUCUGGAAGUCGAUGGACGUGAUUUAUCAUGGCAUAAAGUGUGCAGUUUGCCGACUAUCAGCAGUCUUGUUCACCAGCUGUGCAACUUGAGCUGGUAGCUUUAUUGCUUGAAGCCACUGCAUAAGAGGGGGAAGGUGCAGGCUCAUCAAAAAGUCUCAAAAGUCGAAACUAGGAAAAGAAGUUUAUCAAGAGUGUGAAUCUAUUUUGAAAACAAUCGUUACAAUGAUUUGGUUUCCUUUGAAACUUGAUACAUACUAUGAAUUGAGAUGCUUAAAUAAAAAACCGCUAUUCAAAUAUCAGGAAACUGCCUUUUUCAUACUAAAGGGUAAAUGAUGUCGCCAUUUCCUGUAUGUAUUUAAAUAAGAUAUGUCUCCACAAUUAAUAUUUUUAGGGAAUUUUUCUCAACCUAAUGACUGAGAUUAAAUUGUACAGCGUUAUAUGAGCUUAAUAUGUGUUUUCUCAUUCUUUAAAAUUGGUGAAAAAUUGUCAGAAGAUAAUUAGA